CAGCCGCCGCGGUAAUACCGGCGGCCCGAGUGGCGGUCACUAUUAUUGGGCUUAAAGCGUCCGUAGCCGGGUUGGGAAGUCCUCCGGGAAAUCUGGCCGCUUAACGGUCAGAAUGCCGGAGGAUACUCCCAGCCUAGGGAGCGGGAGAGGCCGAGGGUAUUCCCGGAGGAGGGGUGAAAUCCUAUAAUCCCCGGAGGACCACCAGUGGCGAAGGCGCCCGGCUGGCACGCGCCCGACGGUGAGGGACGAAAGCUGGGGGGGCAAAGGGGAUUAGAUACCCCCGUAGUCCCAGCUGUAAACGAUGCGGGCUAGAUGUUGGGCGGGCCGCGAGCCCGCCCAGUGUCGUAGGGAAGCCGUUAAGCCCGCCGCCUGGGGAGUACGGCCGCAAGGCUGAAACUUAAAGGAAUUGGCGGG
rnacentral:rRNA from 1 species